UGAAAAUCCGCUUAUAGCACAUGGAAUGAUCACCUGUGAUUGCUAACCAUUUUACAGGCUACCUUUGUUUCACUUUGCCCUCAUUUUCUACAAAAUCCGAAAGAUUUCUUUUCAAAUAUAUCGAAAUUAUUCUUGCCUAUUUAAAAAUAUUUAUAUUUACUGCGUUUGCCUCUUUAGGGUUCAAAUUUGGAUAAUUAUUUUUGUAGCCCUUUUUUAAUAUCGGCUUGUUGAGUAGCCACCUUGCAUUUAUCUUUGGAAGAAGAGAAGGAUUGAUGAGACAUUUCAAGACUCUCAAAAACCGAUAAAUAUUCUGAAGAUUUGCUACUUCUCAUUUUGUUGUUCCUUGUAUAAGGUUGAAGACUGAUUUUGUAAAUUAUAGAAAAUGUCUGUAUAUAUUCGAACUCGAAAGAUAAUGCAAUUUAUUAAUGUCUAUGGUACUACUGAAUGUUUUAAAUAUCCCGAAGUCUUCAGUACUAGCAGGUACCAUUUUUAAAACCUGUUCACUAUAGAUGCUGGACUAGAUGAUAAUGGCUCAUCAUUCCGCAAAGAUUAAGUGUGAAGUAGAAGCGACACCUUCAUCUUUAUACCCAACUCUCCUGAUGUGAUGGAUUUCAUAUAUCGAAGUUAUCGUCGCUGCCAAGUGUCGUCCUUUCGAUUUCUUUUUGAAAAUACAAUACUGGAUCCAAGCUGGUUUCGGAAAAGAUCCCCAUCUGAAUCGCACCACACUGAACCAAGCCAUUUUUAGAUGGAAGAGGAAGAUAUUUUCUCUUGGAUUUCCCAUUCUAUCGCAUUAGACUAACCAGAUUGACAUGUUUUGACCGAAAUGACCAUGGCUCAACAGGAAAUAUCUGGAACCUACAAGUGGAUUUUGGAAUUUGGACCCUUUUCAAAUUAAAUUAUGGUCAGAGAUCCAACAGAUAUAAUUGAUAGUUUCAAAAGCUAGGAAUAUUAAACCAAGUUCAAAAUGCAUCGCCUUUAAUACUCGCAAAUUAUCAAGACUUAAAUUCAGUCUGCACAGUGGAUUGAAAGUGAAAGGUUUAUGAUCUCUCCAUAUACCAGACAAGUGGUUUCAAAGAAACGAGGGCAAAAUCAUGUGGAUUUAACAUGUGUAAUCCGUGAUAGAAGAAAAUAACCAUGAAGAUUUCUUCUUAUUAAACUAUGGAAUCAAUGUUAAUUUGGAGGAUUUUUUUUUGUGCAAUGACAGCAAGAACUUGUGAGAUAACAUCCGUUUGCUCCAGUUUACUUGUACUUAAAUACUUGGGUGAAAUAGAACGUCAUAUAAAGCAAACAAAGAUCAACUAAUCUGCAUUUGAUUCUACAGCAGCGCACUGUGCAAAGAAUACAUCUGAUGUCAUCUAUUUGAAUAACGAAACUCCAUCUGUGGAAUGAAAGGCCUUUUCAGUUCCAGCUACAAACUCUAUAUACAAAGGAUGUCUGGAUGCACAGGAAAGAACGGUACUGAAGUGAUUUCGAUAUUAACAGGAGUUGGCCGAAAUGAUAGCGGUAAAACGGAUGGCAUUCAGAAUCUUCAUCAAGCGAAUAUUAGAACUCGGUGCCUUUAAAAGGAAAUAUUGGAUGGCGAUCCAACAGAUGCAGCUUGUGUCUUUGGUCUGAUAUUAGAGCAAACCCAAAAUGAGUAUUUUGUGCCAAUAUAUUAUCAAUGAUAUGCAUGGUGGAAAUGUAAAUGUAUAUGUAGUUAACAUUACUUGAGGAUAUCAAUACAUCUCUGAAAUACUUUGUUCUUCUAUUUUAAGGUGUUGAAUAUUUAUAUAUUUUUGGAGAAUUCUUUCAAUCAAUGCGUAAUUGUUCUUGAACUUGGAAUUCUUGGAACUUGGAAAAGGUUGAAGUGCAUGGAAUGUAAAUCGUUCAAAGCCUGUGUUUGGCAUAUGAAUCAAUAUUUCUUAACUGUUCUGGAAAUUGUUAUGCAUAUGUCCAUUUUAAUAGCUUCUGGUACAUUAUAUUUCCUUCAAAGUGGAUAUUUGUAUUCUACUCUUUUAGACACAAGUAUUUUUUUUAAAUAUUAUAGACAUAUGAAACAUUUUUAUGGAUAAAUUAAAAUUUGAUAGUGUGUUUGAUUUUUUGCUGAAUAUCUAAAACCAAUUUCCAUCAAUUUUUCUUUCAACGCGUAUAAAAUUGACUUCAAAAUUUCAUUUGUAACCAUACUCUUAUUAGAAGUUAACAAGUCGAACUUUUGUUACUCUCCCAGCAAUAUAGCCAGUGAUCUCAACCACUGUCACAGAAUUGAAAUAAAAAAUAUAUAACGCCUUAAUUUGCAUUUGACAUUUCUCCAUUGUCAACGGAGAAUACACUUUCAUGAUAUUGGAUGAUUUGUUAACAUUCUUUUUCAUCAUCGAUUGCAUUAUUAAAAUUCUAAAAAUUUAAUUUUUUGUCAACCGAUUAGGUGUUAUUCCUUCUCAUCAACAUAAUUGUUUGUAGACAGUUUUCAAUUUUUUGACAGAUUUUACAAAGUAGUCUUUCUUUAUUUUCAUUUAUUACUGAAUGUCAAAGAUCGCGAAAGCAAUUUCAUUCAUUUUUCCUGAAUAGAAAUUUAAAUAUAGUGUCAAAGAUCAUUAUUUGAAAUUUAAUUUCAACACUUUGAGAAAUUUUAUCACGAUUUUUGUAGCUAUAUUAAUCAAAUAUCUGUACAUUGCAUCCAUUUUCAAUUAUUUUUUUAAAUCAAGAUUCUAUUCUUAUUAAAUUUAUUAAAAAUUGGUGAUAAUAAAUGAUUAAUAGAACUUCACUUUGUGACUAUGAAAUAAGUUACCACAAACUCAGUAUAUUUAGUGUAAUGGCUAUGUGCGUAUA